rnacentral:rRNA from 1 species
AACAUUUCUUUUAGAUUAUUUUAUAAGUAAAGUCUGCCCACUGUUAAAAUAAAGGGCCGCGGUAUUUUGACCGUGCAAAGGUAGCAUAAUCAUUAGCCUUUUAAUUGGGGGAUGGAAUGAAUGGCUUAAUGAUUUUUCUCUAUUAUUUUUAUUAAAAAAUAAAUUUGAUUUUAAGUGAAAAAACUUAAUCAUUUUAAAUAGACGAUAAGACCCUAUAGAAUUUUAUUUUUUAUAGUAUUUAAUAUUAUUAAAAAAGUUUAAAUGGGGCAUUUUUUGACUAAUAAAAAUUUCUAAUUAACUAUUUAAAAAUAUCUUUUUUUUAAUAAAAUAAAAAAAUUACCUUAGGGAUAACAGCGUAAUAAUUUUUAAGAGUUCAUAUCGACAAAAUAGUUUGCGACCUCGAUGUUGAAUUAAAAUUCUUUUAUGGAGCAGCUUUUAUAAGAAGUAGUCUGUUCGACUAUUAAAUUUUUACAUGAUUUGAGU